UACGUAGGGGGCAAGCGUUGUCCGGAUUUAUUGGGCGUAAAGAGCGUGUAGGCGGCCAUGUAGGUCCGUUGUGAAAACUCGAGGCUCAACCUCGAGACGCCGAUGGAAACCAUAUGGCUAGAGUCCGGAAGAGGAGAGUGGAAUUCCUGGUGUAGCGGUGAAAUGCGUAGAGAUCGGGAGGAACACCGGUGGCGAAGGCGGCCAGCUGGCGCUGACCUGACGCUGAGGCGCGAAGGCAUGGGGAGCGAACGGG
rnacentral:rRNA from 1 species